rnacentral:rRNA from 1 species
CAGCAGUGGGGAAUAUUGCACAAUGGGGGAAACCCUGAUGCAGCGACGCCGCGUGGAGGAAGAAGGUCUUCGGAUUGUAAACUCCUGUUGUUGAGGAAGAUAAUGACGGUACUCAACAAGGAAGUGACGGCUAACUACGUGCCAGCAGCCGCGGUAAAACGUAGGUCACAAGCGUUGUCCGGAAUUACUGGGUGUAAAGGGAGCGCAGGCGGGAGAACAAGUUGGAAGUGAAAUCCAUGGGCUCAACCCAUGAACUGCUUUCAAAACUGUUUUUCUUGAGUAGUGCAGAGGUAGGCGGAAUUCCCGGUGUAGCGGUGGAAUGCGUAGAUAUCGGGAGGAACACCAGUGGCGAAGGCGGCCUACUGGGCACCAACUGACGCUGAGGCUCGAAAGUGUGGGUAGCAAACAGGAUUAGAUACCCUGGUAGUCCACACCGUAAACGAUGAUUACUAGGUGUUGGAGGAUUGACCCCUUCAGUGCCGCAGUUAACACAAUAAGUAAUCCACCUGGGGAGUACGACCGCAAGGUUGAAACUCAAAGGAAUUGACGGGGGCCCGCACAAGCAGUGGAGUAUGUGGUUUAAUUCGACGCAACGCGAAGAACCUUACCAAGUCUUGACAUCCCUUGACGAACAUAGAAAUAUGUUUUCUCUUCGGAGCAAGGAGACAGGUGGUGCAUGGUUGUCGUCAGCUCGUGUCGUGAGAUGUUGGGUUAAGUCCCGCAACGAGCGCAACCCCUAUCUUUAGUAGCCAGCAUUUAAGGUGGGCACUCUAGAGAGACUGCCAGGGAUAACCUGGAGGAAGGUGGGGAUGACGUCAAAUCAUCAUGCCCCUUAUGACCAGGGCUACACACGUGCUACAAUGGCGUAAACAAAGGGAAGCGAGCCCGCGAGGGGGAGCAAAUCCCAAAAAUAACGUCUCAGUUCGGAUUGUAGUCUGCAACUCGACUACAUGAAGCUGGAAUCGCUAGUAAUCGCGAAUCAGAAUGUCGCGGUGAAUACGUUCCCGGGUCUUGUACACACCGCCCGUCACACCAUGGGAGUCAGUAACGCCCGAAGUCAGUGACCCAACCGUAAGGAGGGAGCUGCCGAAGGUGGGACCGAUAACUGGGGUGAAGUCGUAACAAGGUAGCCGUAUCGGAAGGUGCGGCUG